AAGGUUGUUUGCUGCUGGUGGAAUACUGUGGACCAGACGUCUGAGGUGACUGGGGAGAGGUAUAGUGUGGACAUUUUCCUGGUGGAUGCUGUCCUCUACAUCUCCAGCACUGAACUGGGAUUUUCUCAUUGAUGUCCUAAUUUUACCAGCUCUUCCACAGUAUUUACUCGGCUACGCAAUUGGCUGGCAAGUACGGACACGUUCAGCCAGUUCGUCCUCAUAAUCCUCAGAAAGGAAAGCAGAUAUGAAUGCAGUCUCAAACUCAAUCCAAGUGGUUAUGCUGGACCGUCUGACUUCCCACCAGUCUCGUGCUGUUCCGUACAAGACAGUACGGAAGGUAGCCAGGAUGUCUGCAUCUGUCAGGGGAUGUACAGCCAAAAAAUCCUGACAUUUAGUUAGAUGUUAACAGAGGGGUUGAAGAAGUUGAAAGAGUCACUGGAGCAGAAGGAGAUGGCUGGGAUGAAAUACUGGUAGUGCUGGGACCUGGUGCUGUCAGUACACUUAAUUUUUGUUGAUCUGCACUUUUUUUAACACUUUGAAAUCCUUUCUCCACUUCACUUUUCAACUCUUUGAAACCGUAUUUUGAACAGCUUUGAUGUCCUGCUGAACCUCUGCUUGGAGUUGAUCAACCAUGAAUCGUAGUUCGGACACCAAGGUAGAUUCCACCUUCUGGAGUUCUUCCGUGAUCAUUACCUUCAUCGCUUUAGUCAGCAAGAUCAGCAAUCUGGCUCUGGUGCUGAGAAGAGGUGAGAGUUUGUACUGGAGUGCUCCCAGCCAGAGCAGGAGAGGACAUGUGCACACGGGUUCCAGGAUGAACAGAACUGAGUGGAGUGGGGGUAUGGUAGAACACCGGAGCAUAUGGAGGUUGUUCCAGAGGCAUCCCUGGUCGCAGUGCAGGCGGCCAUACUGGAGUUGAGAUGUCUGGUGGAGGCUCAAUUUCCACAAAAGUAGUUUGGGAAGGAGGGGUAUGCGCCAUGAUUGCUGUGAUUGAGUGUAAGAAUGUUGAGUGUGAAA
ensembl:lncRNA